GUUUAUCAAAAACAUAGCCACAAGAUUUAUAUUUGUGGUUAAACCUGCCCAAUGUGUAAACUUUAAUUUAUGAAUGGCCGCGGUACUCUGACCGUGCUAAGGUAGCGUAAUCAGUUGGCUUUUAAAUGGAGUCAGGAAUGAAUGGGAUAACCGGGUUUAGCUGUCUCUUAGUUAUUAAUUUGAAUUUACUGUUUAAGUGAAAAAGCUUAAAAUUAGAAAAGGGACGAGAAGACCCUCAGAAUUUUUUCUAAAGUUGGUAAAGUUUUUAACUACCAAUAAUGAUUUUGUUGGGGCGACAAAGAAAUAUUUAAUAACUUUCUUUAUUUUGUUACACGCCGAAUAUAUUAAGUGAGAAUAAAUUACCUGAGGGAUAACAGCAUAAUUCUAUAAAUGAGUUUGUGACCUCGAUGUUGGACUAGGAAACUAGCGAGCUAGCCGUUUGCUGUGUGGGUUCUGUUCGAACUUUAAAUCCUACAUGAUCUGAGUUCAAACC
rnacentral:rRNA from 1 species